UUCUUUCACUCCUUUCAUUCCUUAGCAUUUCGUUUAAAAACUUGGAGCAGUAGCAAUGUGACUAACGACUUGAUUGUGGAGCUUAACUCACUGGAAUGAGCUUGAGUUGUUUAUCUUGUUAUGUUAAGUGUUGUUUCUAUGAUUCCAAGAGUUGGAGCUUUACUGGGGCUUUACUAAUCUGCAAUUACCCUUUGAGUUUGGCUAAGAAAUGUUGAUCCCUUGAUUAUUAAAGCUUGCUACUUGUUGUGAGGCUGAAAAUUAGUGUAGUUAACACUUGUGCUACUAAGUUCUUGUACUAUGUUAUGAUUGUUCUAAACAUGAUGCAAGAUAAGGUGAUGGGGUGUGGAGGUGUUUACAUGGAUGAAAAGGAGUGACAUGGAGGGUGUUGAUGAUUUACCUGUUGUGGUGAAAGGGACCAAAAGGAGGGAUGGAGUGCUCCUGAUCUUAGCUCGCUCACUGCCCUCUUUUCCUAGAAAUUUCACUCUCAAAUUUUCUCAAAGAAAUUUGCUGGAUUUGUUGUGUGUGUGAAGGAGUUCAUAGGCGGUGUGGAGGGGAUUUUAUAGGCUGAUUGUGGUGUACUAUGGGGACUUAAAUGGGGCUGUUGUAUCACUUGUUGUUAUGCUGCAGAAAAUCCCACUUUAAUGAUCCCAUUGCCCCUCCUUCUUGGCUGCAAAUUUGGCAUUAUAUGGGUACUUAGUACUAGUUAUUAAUUGGGGUUGUUUGAUUGCAGAGAGGCAGGGGAUGUUGUGCCAAGGGGCUGCAUUAUGAAGGGUUUGCAGGCUGGAAAUCCCCCUGUUUUUGGCAAGUUCUUGGUCUUCAAGGAAAAAGAAAGGUGAGAGGAAAACUUAUCUCCCAUCCAACUGCAUCUCGAGUGGGCUCGGAUUCACCGAAUGGCCGACGGGCUGCCCGAAACGGGCCCUAAAUCGGGCCUGGAGGAACAAGGCCGAGAAACACUCCACAAUUUCAUAUAUAUAUUUUUCUUUUCUUUUCUUUGGGACUUGAUCCAUGCAACAUAUAUAUGUAUUUUUUUUUGUUGUUUAUUAGUUAAGCUUGUUCUAUGUAUUGAAGCAUUUGAACAUUAGUUGCUCGUUAAUUGUUUUUUUUUCGAGAUUUCUAUUCGAAAAUUCGUGAUACUUUACAUUGCAAA